UGUUCUGUGGCGAAGUUGGUUAACGCAUCUUGUCUAGUGACUUGGGUUAGACAUGGGUUCAAAUCCCACCAGGCCUA
rnacentral:tRNA from 1 species